rnacentral:lncRNA from 1 species
AAACACCAGUCUAGACAUCAGCCUUGGGAAAGAAUUUACGACUAAGUACCUAAAAGCAAUUGCAAUAAAAACAAAAAUCAACAAGUAGGACUUAACCAAAAUAGAGAGAUUCUGCACAGCAAAAGAAACUGUCAACAGAGUAAACAAACAUUCUACAGAAUAGGAGAAAAAUAUUCACAAACUAUGCAUCUGACAAAAGUUUAAUAUUCAGAAUCUAUCAGAAACUUAAUGCAUCAAGCAAAAAAAAAAGAGAAAGAAAUUUCUCGUCAAUAUCCAUUUCAAGGUGCAUCAUAAGGUUGGAAGUAU